rnacentral:rRNA from 1 species
UACGAAGGGGGCUAGCGUUGCUCGGAAUCACUGGGCGUAAAGCGCACGUAGGCGGCCGAUCAAGUCGGGGGUGAAAGCCUGUGGCUCAACCACAGAAUUGCCUUCGAUACUGUUUGGCUUGAGACCGGAAGAGGUUAGUGGAACUGCGAGUGUAGAGGUGAAAUUCGUAGAUAUUCGCAAGAACACCAGUGGCGAAGGCGGCUGACUGGUCCGGUUCUGACGCUGAGGCGCGAAAGCGUGGGGAGCAAACAGG